GCGGGACGGGGCCGCCCCGCGAGGGACGGCGCCGCCCCGGGGCUCGUGAUAUCUCAUCUCGCCGCCCGUCGCGAGGCGGACGGAGGGAUGGAUGAGGUUACCUGGAAAAAAUCGGGGCGAUCUAGGCGGGCGAACCUCGCCAACGAACGAUCGGACAUGGGAUAACGGAAGAGGGCGUCGGCUCGACUUCGUCGGUUCCUCGGGCCGAGGCACGUACGGUGAAUAGGGGACGGUCGGGGCCGCCCGUACCGGGUCGUGAGAGGUGAAAUUCUAGGAUCGACCCGAGACGAACCGCCGCGAAAGCAUUCGGCAAGGACGCUUUCAUUAAUCAAGAACGAAAGUCGGGGGAUCGAAGACGAUCAGAUACCGUCGUAGUCCCGACCGUAAACGAUGCCGACCGAGGGCCCGGAGGAGUUACGUACGACCCUCCGGGCCCUCCCGCGAGAAAUCAGGAGUAUUCGGGUUCCGGGG
rnacentral:rRNA from 1 species